GACGAACGCUGGCGGCGUGCUUAACACAUGCAAGUCGAACGGAAAGGCCCUGCUUUUGUGGGAUGCUCGAGUGGCGAACGGGUGAGUAACACGUGAGUAACCUGCCCUUGACUUUGGGAUAACUUCAGGAAACUGGGGCUAAUACCGGAUAGGAGCUCCUGCUGCAUGGUGGGGGUUGGAAAGUUUCGGCGGUUGGGGAUGGACUCGCGGCUUAUCAGCUUGUUGGUGGGGUAGUGGCUUACCAAGGCUUUGACGGGUAGCCGGCCUGAGAGGGUGACCGGCAACAUUGGGACUGAGAUACGGCCCAGACUCCUACGGGAGGCAGCAGUGGGGAAUAUUGCACAAUGGGCGGAAGCCUGAUGCAGCAACGCCGCGUGCGGGAUGACGGCCUUCGGGUUGUAAACCGCUUUCGCCUGUGACGAAGCGUGAGUGACGGUAAUGGGUAAAGAAGCACCGGCUAACUACGUG
rnacentral:rRNA from 1 species